UAUGUGAUCGUCUCUUGCAUAUCAAUAAGCGGAGGAAAAGAAACUAACAAGGAUUCCCCUAGUAACGGCGAGUGAAGCGGGAAGAGCUCAAAUUUGAAAUCUUAAAGGGUUUCCCUUUACGAAUUGUAGUUUAAAGAAGUGUUUUCUGUUGAGGUUUUGGUAAAAGUUCUUUGGAAUAGGACAUCAUAGAGGGUGAGAAUCCCGUAUUUGACCUUUACUUUCAACUUUGUGAUACACUUUCAAAGAGUCGGAUUGUUUGGGAAUGCAGUCCAAAAUGGGUGGUAAAUUUCAUCUAAAGCUAAAUAUUGGCGAGAGACCGAUAGCGAACAAGUACCGUGAGGGAAAGAUGAAAAGAACUUUGAAAAGAGAGUUAAACAGUACGUGAAAUUGUCAAAAGGGAAGCGUUUGACACCAGUGUUGUUUUUCUGAAAAUCAAUUAAAGAACUGUUUAUGCUAAGCUGUUUAGACUUUAUCAGCUAACUGUUUAGUUUUGAGCUUUUCUUUAAUGCACUUUUCAGUUAACAAGUCAACAUCAAUUUCUUUUGCUGUAAAAAAGCUUGAGGAAGGUGGCUUGAGAUUCGUCUUAAGUGUUUAUAGCCUCUUGCCUAUGCAGUCGGAGAGAUUGAGGUCUGCAGCGUAGAUCCUUCGGGGCUAAAUGCAUUUGUGCUAAGUUAUAGCAUUUUAUAGACAACUUGUUGACUAUGAUUUGUCUUGUAGCUUACUCGCUUAUGUUAUUUUACCUACGCUUAGGAUGUUGAUCUACAGAGCGAGAGU
rnacentral:rRNA from 1 species